GUGCUGACUUUGGCAGCACAUACACUAAAAUUGUAAUGAUACAGAGAUUAGCAUGGCCCCUGUGCAAGGAUAAUGAGCAAAUUCAUGAAGUGUACCAUAUUUUU
rnacentral:snRNA from 1 species